rnacentral:rRNA from 1 species
GACGUAGGGUCCAAGCGUUGUCCGGAUUUACUGGGCGUAAAGGGCUCGCAGGCGGCCGACUAAGUCAGACGUGAAAUCCCUUGGCUUAACCAAGGAAUGGCGUCUGAUACUGGACGGCUUGAAUUCGGGAGAGGGAUGUGGAAUUCCAGGUGUAGCGGUGAAAUGCGUAGAUAUCUGGAGGAACACCGGUGGCGAAGGCGGCAUCCUGGACCGAUAUUGACGCUGAGGAGCGAAAGCCAGGGGAGCAAACGGG